AGGAGAAACAAGACAGAAGGUGGUACCAGAGAAGGAGUCAGCUCCCCAGGGCCUGGAAUCUGCAGUGUUGCCACCACUAGGGAAGAACAGCAAACCUGGGAGAAAGUGACUCUAUAACCAGUGGAAGAAAGGCUGUGUAGCCAUCACCGGAUCUCUGGGGGAAGAGAGAAGACACAGAGACACAGACCUGCCCCGGAGGAAUCCAGAGCCCACCUGCCCAGAGAGGCUCCACCUGAUUUCCCUGGCUCUGGGCACCCCCUUAAAAGCCCUUUAUGCCAUCUUUCCUUUCAGUCGAGUGAUGCAGGAUUUGGGACCAGACAGCCUUUGCUCAAAUCCUUCCACAGUUAUCUACCAGCUUGGUGGCCUUGGAGAAGUUAUUUCCCUGUUCUGGAUGUGCUUCCUCUUCUAUAAACUAGAGACACUACAAAUUCCCACCACAGAGGGGUAAAUGCAGCAUCCUGUACGUUAUGUGUUUGGCACAGGACCUGGGAUGCAGGAGGCACUCUGACCGGUGGCAUCCAGGAAGUAAGGAAUAUGGACUAAAGGGAGGGCCAAGGAAAAGUUUACAGGCUGUGGCUGUGCAGUUGGAAGAUGCAGAAGCGCCUCGCUUGGUGCUGCCAGCACUUUGGGAGGCCCAGGCGGAUGGAUCACCUGAUGU